AGCCGGGUCCUGCGCAACAAAGGCUCGCAAACUCCGCCAGGUCCGGGAGGAAGCAACGGUAGCGAACCCCUUUGUGUGUUGCAGGGGUGCCUGGCUAUC
rnacentral:SRP_RNA from 1 species